rnacentral:rRNA from 1 species
CCUACGGGGUGCAGCAGUAGGGCAUCUUCCACAAUAGGCGACAGCCUGAUGGCGCAACGCCGCGUGGGUGAAGAAGGUCUUCGGAUCGUACAACCCUGUUGUUAGAGAAGAAAGCGCGUGAGAGUAACUGUUCACGUUUCGACGGUAUCUAACCAGAAAGCCACGGCUAACUACGUGCCAGCAGCCGCGGUAAUACGUAGGUGGCAAGCGUUAUCCGGAUUUAUUGGGCGUAAAGGGAACGCAGGCGGUCUUUUAAGUCUGAUGUGAAAGCCUUCGGCUUAACCGGAGUAGUGCAUUGGAAACUGGGAGACUUGAGUGCAGAAGAGGAGAGUGGAACUCCAUGUGUAGCGGUGAAAGGCGUAGAUAUAUGGAAGAACACCAGUGGCGAAAGCGGCUCUCUGGUCUGUAACUGACGCUGAGGUUCGAAAGCGUGGGUAGCAAACAGGAGUAGAUACCCGGGUAGUC